rnacentral:tRNA from 1 species
AUCUUUAGCUCAGUUGGUUAGAGCAACCGGCUCAUAACCGGUUGGUCCGGGGUUCGAGUCCCUGAAGGUC